GCCUCAGCUAGGCUAAUCCUUACCUGUCCUUCUUUUUGGAGGGCAGAUAGAAAAUGAUGAUCAGAGUCUUGGUAUAACCAGAGCCCACAGCAUCUUGACUGUUCCUAUCUGUG